rnacentral:rRNA from 1 species
UACGUAGGGUGCGAGCGUUAAUCGGAAUUACUGGGCGUAAAGCGUGCGCAGGCGGUGAUGUAAGACCGAUGUGAAAUCCCCGGGCUAACCUGGGAACUGCAUUGGUGACUGCAUCGCUCGAGUAUGGCAGAGGGGGUAGAAUUCCACGUGUAGCAGUGAAAUGCGUAGAGAUGUGGAGGAAUACCGAUGGCGAAGGCCAGCCCCCUGGGUCAAUA